AACGAACGCUGGCGGCAUGCCUAACACAUGCAAGUCGAACGAGACCUUCGGGACUAGUGGCGCACGGGUGCGUAACGCGUGGGAACCUGCCCUUAGGUUCGGAAUAACUCCCCGAAAGGGGUGCUAAUACCGGAUAAUGUCUUCGGACCAAAGAUUGAUCGCCUUUGGAUGGGCCCGCGUUGCAUUAGCUAGUUGGUAGGGUAAAAGCCUACCAAGGCGACGCUCCAUAGCUGGUCUGAGAGGAUGAUCAGCCACACUAGGACUGAGACACGGCCCAGACUCCGACGGGAGGCAGCAGUGGGGAAUAAUGGACAAUGGGCGAAAGCCUGAGCCAGCAAUGCCGCGUGAGUGAUGAAGGCCUUAGGGUUGUAAAGCUCUUUUACCCGGGAUGAUAAUGACAGUACCGGGAGAAUAAGCUCCGGCUAACUCCGU
rnacentral:rRNA from 1 species